UACGAAGGGUGCAAGCGUUACUCGGAAUUACUGGGCGUAAAGCGUGCGCAGGCGGUUGUGCAAGACCGAUGUGAAAUCCCCGGGCUUAACCUGGGAAUGGCAUUGGUGACUGCACGGCUAGAGUGUGUCAGAGGGGGGUAGAAUUCCACGUGUAGCAGUGAAAUGCGUAGAGAUGUGGAGGAAUACCGAUGGCGGAGGCAGCCCCCUGGGAUAACACUGACGCUCAUGCACGAAAGCGUGGGGAGCAAACAGG
rnacentral:rRNA from 1 species